AUGGCCAGUACUGUCAAUUUGGAAGAUGUCAUUGUACCGGGUAUUCCCGUUUUUGAAGAGAUCGCCAUGAACAUCAUCACUUAUGGCCCCUCUAAUAUCAAGUUCCGCGAAACUGAUGCUUCUCUCACAAAGUUCAACCUGGAAAGCAACAACGCUUUGGAUUACAAAUUAAAAUCCAACAUCACAGCAAGAAAUUCCUACAAGAGUGUUGAAGUAUACUACAAGAGGGUCACUGUAAUUGCAUGGUACAAAGAUCUUGAAAGGAAUAACAGUGACUGA